GCCUUUAUAGCUCAACGGUAGAGCGGAAUACUGUUAAUAUUUUGAUAUAUGUUCAAUUCAUAUUAAGGGCU
rfam:Genlisea aurea contig_16144, whole genome shotgun sequence.